AGAGCCUGUGUGCCUGGGAGCCUGGCAGCCUGGGAACCUGGCAGCCUGGGAUGCUAAGAGCCUGUGUGCCUAUGUGCCUGGGAGCCUGGGAACCUGGCAGCCUGGGAUUCUAAGAGCCUUUGUGCCUGGGAGCCUGUGUGCCUGGAACCUGGCAGCCUGGGAACCUGGAACCUGGCAGCCUGGGAUGCUAAGAGCCUGCGUGCCUAUGUGCCUGGCAGCCUGGGAACCUGGCAGCCUGGGAUUCUAAGAGCCUGUGUGCCUGGCAGCCUGGGAACCUAGCAGCCUGGGAUUCUAAGAGCCUUUGUGCCUGGGAACCUGGCAGCCUGAAAACCUGGCAGCCUGGGAUGCUAAGAGCCUGUGUGCCUAUGUGCCUGGCAGCCUGGGAACCUGGCAGCCUGGGAUUCUAAGAGCCUGUGUGCCUGGCAGCAUGGGAACCUGGCAGCCUGGGAUUCUAAGAGCCUUUGUGCCUGGGAACCUGGCAGCCUGGGAUUCUAAGAGCCUUUGUGCCUGGGAGCCUGUGUGCCUGGCAGCCUGGGAACCUGGGAUUCUAAGAGACUUUGUGCCUGGCAGCCUAUGUGCCUGGGAGCCUGGCAGCCUGGGAUUCUGAGAGCUUGGGACCCCAGUCUUGAACGAAACUUUGGUAUGGCUUCGUUGGCCUGCCCGCCAUGCGCUGUGUUGCACAGACAGGCUGGCAGGUGGAAUGCAGGACAAGGGCGUAACCGGGUGCGGGGCGUGGUGCCGUGUUGGGUCCUGGGGACAUGCGCAAGCUGUGCGCCAGCUCGGAUGCCAUACAAUGGCCUCUUUCCACCGCCAAAUGAUCAUUUACCCAGUAGAGCAUUCAUUGUGCCAUUCAGAGCCGACAAAGGGAUGGAACGACGUGUUGGGCGUGACGGUCAGUCUUUGCUGAAUCCCUUUCACUAAUGCCCAGUGCUUUUGGCCAUUGCAAUGACCUUAUUGCAUGAUUCAAUUGUUCCAGUGCGUUGGUGUUAUUUAAGCAGGUUACAUAAACAGGUCAUUAGAAUGUCCGCCGCGCGCCUUGGGAUGUUGUCUUUUUUCUUUCGAUUGCUUUCUCCUUUUAUGCUAGAAGCCUUUUGACUACGUGCGUCACAAUUUUGGGGUUAGUUUCUCCUGGCGAGUGUUUUGCGCGUUAAUUGCUUGCCAAGGAGUGCAAGCUGGAGCAUUAAUUAUUAGCGUCUCAUGAAUCAUCUACAUACAGAUGUUUUGGAGCUUUGGACCAUCGUUUCCAUGACCGUCCGCUAGGCGUCCGCUGGAACGGUCAGGAUGUACGGCGUUGCGGACAGGGGACCGUCCGCCGGCGGGGUAUAUGUAACUUUAUGUUUAACUCGGAGCCAUGGAAAGCUAUCUUCGCGCUCCGAUUUAUCUGGAAUGUCUCCUUUGGCAUUUCGAUAUAGAAGGGAUAUAGCAUUCAAACGCUAUUUUUUGCGGGGCGAGAUAUGUAAGCCACUGACUGACUGACUGACUGACAGCAGUGAACCCGGGGGGCUCGGCCCCCCGAAUGGCGCUUCGCGCCCGGGGCCUCGCCCCAAAAGAGCUGCUUCCCAGCCCCAACGAACAAGACCGCCGAGGCACUACCCCCAGGGGAAAAGGAGUCGGCCGCUGUCCCCUCCUGCUUGACACAGAGCCUGAACCGCCGAUACCUUGUAAGGGUACACACAGCAGUUGGUCU
rnacentral:lncRNA from 1 species